UGGGGAAUAUUGCACAAUGGGCGCAAGCCUGAUGCAGCCAUGCCGCGUGUAUGAAGAAGGCCUUCGGGUUGUAAAGUACUUUCAGCGGGGAGGAAGGCGAUAAGGUUAAUAACCUUGUCGAUUGACGUUACCCGCAGAAGAAGCACAGGCUAACUCAGUGCCAGCAGCCGCGGUAAUACGGAGGGAGCAAGCGUUAAUCGGAAUUACUGGGCGUAAAGCGCACGCAGGCGGUCUGUCAAGUCGGAUGUGAAAUCCCCGGGCUCAACCUGGGAACUGCAUUCGAAACUGGCAGGCUAGAGUCUUGUAGAGGGGGGUAGAAUUCCAGGUGUAGCGGUGAAAUGCGUAGAGAUCUGGAGGAAUACCGGUGGCGAAGGCGGCCCCCUGGACAAAGACUGACGCUCAGGUGCGAAAGCGUGGGGAGCAAACA
rnacentral:rRNA from 1 species